AGCGAACGCUGGCGGCAGGCCUAACACAUGCAAGUCGAACGAACCUUUCGGGGUUAGUGGCGGACGGGUGAGUAACACGUGGGAACGUGCCUUUAGGUUCGGAAUAACUCAGGGAAACUUGUGCUAAUACCGAAUGUGCCCUUCGGGGGAAAGAUUAAUCGCCUUUAGAGCGGCCCGCGUCUGAUUAGCUAGUUGGUUGAGGUAAUGGCUCACCAAGGCGACGAUCAGUAGCUGGUCUGAGAGGAUGAUCAGCCACAUUGGGACUGAGACACAGCCCAAACUCCUACGGGAGGCAGCAGUGGGGAAUCUUGCGCAAUGGGCGAAAGCCUGACGCAGCCAUGCCGCGUGAAUGAUGAAGGUCUUAGGAUUGUAAAAUUCUUUCACCGGGGACGAUAAUGACGGUACCCGGAGAAGAAGCCCCGGCUAACUUCGUG
rnacentral:rRNA from 1 species